GGAUAGCUCAGCUGGUUAGAGUAUGGUACUGAUAACUCCAAGGUUUCAGAUUUGAUCCCUGUUUGAUCCU